UUAAUUAUCUGAACAAGUUCAUGAUUUGAUGACAUCAUAUUCUCCAGAGCUGUUAGAAUAGAACUUUUCUGAAACAAAAAUUAAAUUUAUUUUAGUGUAUAUAAUUUAUAAUAAAUACAAUUAUUUUAAUAAUAUAAUACACUUAAUCACUAAUUUAAAAACCCUGAUUUUAUGGUUCAACUGUGACAAAUGUCAUAGGUCAGAAGUUCCCAAACUUUUUAUGGUACAACCCAUUUUAGACAUUUUUUUUAAAUUUUAGUGAUAAUAUCAACUAUCAAGUUCUUUUUUUACUGUUCCGUUAAUUAGUUGUUUAUGACAAAAAAUUAAGAGGACGUCGUACCUGCACACGAUGUCUCCGCCUUACUUGCGUACGGCCUUAUAAAAUUUCGUUAAGAGUUAAGAGUUGAAAAAGAAUACAAGAUUUUUCAUAAGUUUGACUAACAAUAGUUAUAAAAGAACUUAAACUUUGGUAUGUAUUCAGGCCAUUAAAACAUAAACCAUAUUUUAUACCAACUACUGUAAAUAAUAUUCUAGGCUGACAAAUCAUCUCCGUUCAGAAUUGUUUUUCGUAUACAAUGAUACUUAUCAUUGGAUUCAAAUUUAAUACAUAAAUUUAUUAUAGUAACCUACUAUACAGCAGAGCGUUACUCACUUGACCACACUUUUUUAAUUUAUUUAAAAUACGGAAUAAUAAUAAUUAUAUUGUAUUGUAUACGUAAUGAUUAAAAGAAAAGUUACGAUUUUUAAGAUAAAAUUAUUUAAAUAUUAAAAAUGUUUAAUAAUAUAGGUACUACGACCACACUUAUAGGUAGGUAGUUUAAUUUAUUGGUAUAUACAUAUAUAAAGGUAACUAUAUAGUAGAUAUUAGAUACCUACGCUAAAUAUAAAUUUACUUAUUUAUUUUUAUAGAUUUAUAAAGAAGUUGGAACUUCAUUUUAAGACAGGAAGGAGAUUUUGUAACUCAAAAUGAAAGAAUUAUUUAAUUAAACAAAACGAAUAAUUUUAAAUAGUUAAAAAAAUAAUUAAUUAUAUAAUUAUUUUUAUAUUCAUUUCGGUGAAAUGGAACUGCAGAAAAAUAAAUUCGGCGAAAUGGUACCGCGACGAAAUGAAACGGCGGCGAAAUGGGAGCUGACCAAAAAUUUAAAUUAUUAAUUAUUAAAACUAGGCAACAAAAAUGUAGUAUCGUAUGUGUGUAAGACGGAGACAACACUCGCGGGUGAAACGUUCUCUUAAAGAUACAUAAUAUUAAAACAGUUAAUUUUAUUUUUGAAUUUUUAUUAAUUACUAAAGAAAUUUUACAACUAUUUAUCUGGCUAUCAAAAAAAUAUAUAUAUACAUACAUAUAAUAUAUAUAAAAUAUAGGUAUUUUAAUGCUACUUUUUAAUAUGAAGAAUGUAAAUGUUUUCUAUUUUUCAUUACUACAUUGAUAUUCACUUCAGCAUUAGUUACGUUUGCUACGUUAGUUUUAAACGUAGUGAGUUUGUUAAUAUCAAUUUGCUCCGUAAAGUUGUAAUUUUCACGCUUGCGGAUAGCGAUUUAUGAUUAAAACUGAAUAUGAACAUCAUCGAAAAAAAUAGAAACUGGGAAUUAUGGAAACACAUUAAAAAAAAAUGUAGGUAUUUUUUAAAAAUAUAAUCGUGACCCGCAGUUUGGGAAUCUCUGUGACAUAAAUAAUUGAAGUGGGUGGAUUAGACAUCUUGUACUAAACUUUGAAAAAAACCAGGCUACAAACCAAAGUUUAUAGAUAAUAGUAUUAUCUAUAAACCUUGGCUACAAACUACCAUAUCAAAUGAGACCCAAUAUGUUACUUAUAAUUAGUUGUUAAAAGAAGUUAAUGAACCACUGAUGAGUUGGUGACGUUGGGGUAGUGAAUGAUAGAUAUAGGUACUAUAUAGUAUAAUAUUAAACUAUAUAGAAAUUUCUCAUAAAUAUUUUAAAUUACAUCGGCACCUUGAGCUGUGAUAAUAAUGAUAAUAAUGAUAAUAUUGUCUUAAUUUUGGUAAUAAAUAAAUUUCUCAAACUUAUUAUCUCCUAUUGUUAUUAUAAACAUUACUUGGAGAAAUGAAGGCGAAGGCAUGUUACUGAUGUGAAAACAUCUAACCUGUCCAUUUACAUCACCAGUGACAAUAUUCUAAAAAUCGCAAAAAAUUUCACCAGUGAGAAGUGUACGCCCGUCUUGCAUGUAAACAUCAUGACAGGCUCGACCGUUUUUCGCGCAAAAUCCCAAAUGCAAAUGACUGCGCCGCUGACGCUGACAAUAACCGUGGAGUUGAUUGGCGACCAAUCGGCGUCGUCUACAGCGUU